rnacentral:lncRNA from 1 species
CCCACACUUCAGGGACAAAAGGCAGUCACAUAAUGACACCAAAUGUGUCAGAAAUCACAUAAAAUCUUGAUUUUUCUUAGCUAUUUUUCCCCAGCUGUUUUUCCUGUGUUUCUCAGUCACGCAUUCCCCACUGAGAAAUGUAUUUUAGCCAAGCCUAAGUUUUUAAGAUAAAGCUUUAGUCUAUUUCAAAAUAAAAAUACUUUGCAAAGAAGCGUGACAAAAUUCCUAAUACUGUUGAAUUCACCUUGUAUCCUCCUGCCCUUUUCUACCUUUUCUCUCUUUCAACAGCAGCAAGUAUUUAGUAACCUUCCCUUCCUACAAAAAAAAAAAAACAAAAAACAAACACAUUUGCUCUGCCCAGAAAAGAACAAGGCGCUGGAUUCCUACAGCCAAGGACAGAGAAGAAAGGAAAAAGAUGUGCUGCAUCUUUUUGGGAAGAGGGUCCUGGUCAUGAGCAGAAACCUGCUGAGGAGCUUCAUUUGGCUGCUGAGAUGUCUCUCCACCCAUGGCAGAGCCAAGGUCUCCAUGAAGGCAGAAGCUGGGCUCUAGUUAACUGAUGCUCCUACUCAUUUUCUCUUUCUGGCUUCAGCCAUCACAGCAGAGGAGCAGAACAUGCAGCACUUCUGAUUUUAGGGACCACAGUUUGACAGCUAUUUUGUGAUGCAAAAGCUGCUGUAGGUUAUCUUUCUUGUUCCCAGUGCGCUACGGAGGGGAUUAAUGAUACAGGAGAUGGACAGAAAGCUCAAAAAUAACGUGUGUAACCAAGCUACUGCCCAGUGCUAUUUUCUCCCCCUCUAGUGUAGCCUUUCUGACAAACCCUAUCCCUUCCUGUGCCACAGGCCAGCGGUGACAUGUUUGAACUUCUGCAGCCGUUUGAUGUAAAAUGUUUUAAAUUCUUUUCGGGAACACUAAAGGCUUUUGUCUCUUGACCGGUGCGGUGGGGAUGCCACGUCUGGCAAAGACUGAUCUCUGUCUGCUUUCCAGCUCUACCCUAUCACACCGGGCUGCCCAGCCAGCCGAGAGGUAGGAAUGGCUGUUAAUCAUUAAAUGGAGCCUUUUUUCCACCGGAAUGAAAGGAAACACAAUGCAGCGAUGCAAGUCCGAGCCCACCCUUCCCAAGGAAACGCUGCCCACUGAUUAAAACCCUGUCAUGCACUUCUAUUUAGAUAUUUAGAGAACUACAGUUUUACAGGAUGGCUGUAAAGUGAAUUGUUCAGCUGCAGCUAAAAGCAGGCAGCGAUGAACUGCCAGGUAAGCCAUGGGGGGGUAACGCAUCAGCAUGCUUCGACGGAAAGAAAUUACAGCCCCUAAAUCCUGACUGUCUUUAUUUAAGAUAUCAGGCUUAAAUAAAGGCUGAUAA